CCCGCAGCGGCCGGGCUCCGACGCCUGAGGUCCCAAGCGCCUGCUCCCGGGCCGCCACCCAAGCUGGAGCUGUGAGUAAGGGAGAGAAUGGCAUGAACCAGGAGGAUGGGGAGAUGCACGCCAGCCAGCUUAUGCAGGGUCUUUUAAGGACAGCCAGUCAUCUGAGGUAGACGUUAUUCUUCCCAUUUUGCUGUUGAAGAAGUUGAGCACGAGACAAGUGAUUUGACCAGAGAUGAGGAGAAGGGAAGUCGGAGAGAUUCGAAGUGUGGGCAAGACUUGACCCAGCAUCGCUGGCUUUGGAGACGAGGGAGGUCACGGCCAGGGAAUAUGGGCAGCCUUGAGACGCUGAGGCAAGGAAACAGGGACCUGAGCUCUGCCAACAACCGGAAUGAGCCUGGAAAUGUGUUCUCCCCUUGCGCCUCCAGAGAGGAAUGCAGCCCUGCCAACACCUUCAUCCUGCCACGUGCAACACUUCGCAAAGAACCUGCUGAGCCCUGCUGUGCCUGGACUCCUGGCUCAUGGAAAUCAUGAGGACUGAGUUAUGUGGGAAACGCAGCCUGCAACAAUGUGAUGGCAUUUUGCAGGAAAAUGAGCCGCAGUUGUGCAAGUCAGUCUAACUUCAGAACUCAGCCCUAAGUGUAUCACCUUUACCCAGUCUCACCGUGACCUCUUGCGAGACCUGUUUGAGAUGCUCAGUCAAUACCGAAAUAAUUUGAAAGAAUGAUGCAGAUUUUAUUCACUCAAUAAGCGAACAUUUGUUGGGCACCUACCAUGUACCAAUGAGCUUUCCAGGUGUUGGGGAUAAAAUGUAGAACAAGACAGACUCUCUUCUGCCUCCUUGGAGUUCAUGCACCAGUGUGGAAAACAGAGAUUGAACAAAUAAUUACAACUGGCAUGAUAUUUCUGGAAUCACAUCCAAAGGACUUUCUGGAGCAUGGUUCCGUCUGUAUCCCACCUCUUGGGUCCACUCUAUGUAUGAUAGGAAUGGCUGCGUACCGACCAAUGCUGCAUCUGAAGGAGAUAUAAACCAGAUCUAAAGCUGGAGUCUAAGAUUGUCCUGGGCUUCCAGAAGUUCUUGAUUUGGGAAUAAUUUUAAUCUUUUUGUGACUCUGGUAAAAGCUGUGGAUUCCUUCUCCAGAGAAAGGCACGUGUACAUAUAUACAUAAAAUGUUGCUUGGUCUUUUUAGGACACUAUGGACCUUGGAUCAAGAACCUUUGGCCAAGAAACAAAUAAUGCAAUAUAUGUUAAGAAAAAAAAAAGAAGAAGA